GGGCCUGUGCGGGUCUGUGCUGGGGAGGGUUCCUCGGGGGAGGAGCCAGAGCGGGGCGGGGUCCUCCAGGGCGGGGCCUGCGCGGGGGCGGGGCGGACUGCCGCCCUGACCUCGCCCCCGCCCCCGGCGCUGUCGGUGCCCUGCUCCUCGAGGCUCCCGCCCGGCGACGUCCCCGGAACUCAAGCCAAACUGAGCGUCUGCGUUGCCACAACCUCCGCCCGAGCACAGCAGCACCUGCCGGCGGGGGUACCCCAUUAACGCGUCACCCCGAGGAGGGCCGGCUUCCAGAACCACAAAACCGCGCCGCCGGCGCCCGCCUCCCACUCGGCAAGCCGGCAAAGCAAAAAGCGGGGGUGCCACCGGUUCGGCGUGGAACCCGGGGGCUGCAGCGUCCAGGGCCCGGCCGGGAGGACCGUGCGAGACAGGGGCCGAGCCGAGAGGAAAGGAGUCGUGCCCGCGAUGGGACGGGCACCGGCCUUCAGCGCGCGCCUCCUCCAGCCGCAGGACACGCGUUGCUCCUUUAAAAGCCCAACGGGCAGAGCAACGCCACGUUUCCUGACCUCGCCAGGCUGGGGCAGAUUUUUAUCGGAACCCUAACCUGGCCUGGCCAGGCCCUGUGUCCGCGGUGUCUGGAACCUGACCGCGCGCCCUCCUUCUCUCCUACUUUGACGUUGCCCUCCGCCCAGAAGCUCCUUCUCAGAAAGACCACCUCCCCGCCUCAAAACCGGAACUUUCAACAGAAUCGCUUGGCCUAAUUCUCUGCAAAGGCGGCUCCAGAAAGUCUUGUGAGACCACAUAUUCACAUUUCGAUGUUACAGUACCCCAAUUUCCCACUCUGCCACCCUAAUCCAAUUCCCGCCAGCAUGGUAGCGCAGGACCUGUGCGCGCUGACCUUCGCACUGUGGACCGGCGCCCCUGACCUGGAGGGGACUCGUAAAGAAAGGGGUUAACUCGGAGGAUGGGCGGGCAGAGGAUACCCGAGGACCUGACCUAGGAGAGGGUAGGGGCCACAGGAAAGAGAGGCCUAGUAGAUGUCUGAAGUGACCGCUGUCGGAGAAAUGCACCAGGCUUCAACUUUGAUCAAGUGUCACAAAAGGAAGAGGAACGUCAGUGUGGAGUUCUCCCCAGAAAACAGAAGUUAUAUGGUAUGAGUUCCAAGUGCCUCCACUCCACGUGAAAUUGGCCACACGAAAGAUCUGGAAAUCUGUGUGGAAGAAAUCUUCCAAUGUGUCAACUGAGUUGAAUCAGGAAGUCUACACCAGUCCUGGUAACAGAAGUGUUACAUCCAGGGGACCCACUGAGCAGGUGCCGGAUGCCUGAGAAGCUGCCUGCAACCACUGAGACGUGCCACCCAAACACCCGGAAUUUCUACUGGUGGCCAAGUUGCAUACACUUCGAAUAGGACCAAAGUGUUUGGCCUAUAUUCAAAUUGGAGGGUGCCAGGCUUGGGGAAUACCAACGGAAACACGGCUUCAGCCUUCUGAGGAAGUGAGAAGUGAGCACCCUGGCUUGGGGAGAAGCUAAGCCCUCCUGUGAAACCUGUGACGGCCUUCCCUUGGAGAAUGGGGUGAA